UACAGAGGUCUCAAGCGUUGUUCGGAUUCAUUGGGCGUAAAGGGUGCGUAGGUGGCGUCGUAAGUCAGGUGUGAAAUCUCGGGGCUCAACCCCGAAACUGCACUUGAUACUGCGAUGCUCGAGUACUGGAGAGGAGAUUGGAAUUUACGGUGUAGCAGUGAAAUGCGUAGAUAUCGUUUGGAACGCCAAAGGUGAAAACAGGUUGCUGGGGUUGUGCCGACGCUGAGACACGAAAGCCAGGG
rnacentral:rRNA from 1 species